CCUACGGGAGGCUGCAGUGGGGAAUAUUGCACAAUGGGGGAAACCCUGAUGCAGCGACGCCGCGUGAAGGAAGAAGUAUUUCGGUAUGUAAACUUCUAUCAGCAGGGAAGAAAAUGACGGUACCUGACUAAGAAGCCCCGGCUAACUACGUGCCAGCAGCCGCGGUAAUACGUAGGGGGCAAGCGUUAUCCGGAUUUACUGGGUGUAAAGGGAGCGUAGGCGGUUUAGCAAGUCAGAAGUGAAAGCCCGGGGCUCAACUCCGGGACUGCUUUUGAAACUGUUGAACUAGAGUGCAGGAGAGGUAAGCGGAAUUCCUGGUGUAGCGGUGAAAUGCGUAGAUAUUAGGAGGAACACCAGUGGCGAAGGCGGCUUACUGGACUGUAAAUGACGCUGAGGCUCGAAAGCGUGGGGAGCAAACAGGAUUAGAUACCCCUGUAGUC
rnacentral:rRNA from 1 species